rnacentral:rRNA from 1 species
UUUGCGUCGAAGGUAUACCGGUAAGGAGUGCUGGAGCGAAUAGAAGUGAGCAUGCAGGCAUGAGUAGCGAUAAUUAAUGUGAGAAUCAUUAACGCCGUAAACCCAAGGUUUCCUACGCGAUGCUCGUCAUCGUAGGGUUAGUCGGGUCCUAAGUCGAGUCCGAAAGGGGUAGACGAUGGCAAAUUGGUUAAUAUUCCAAUACCAACAUUAGUGUGCGAUGGAAGGACGCUUAGGGCUAAGGGGGCUAGCGGAUGGAAGUGCUAGUCUAAGGUCGUAGGAGGUUAUACAGGCAAAUCCGUAUAACAAUACUCCGAGAACUGAAAGGCUUUUUGAAGUCUUCGGAUGGAUAGAAGAACCCCUGAUGCCGUCGAGCCAAGAAAAGUUUCUAAGUUUAGCUAAUGUUGCCCGUACCGUAAACCGACACAGGUGGGUGGGAUGAGUAUUCUAAGGCGCGUGGAAGAACUCUCUUUAAGGAACUCUGCAAAAUAGCACCGUAUCUUCGGUAUAAGGUGUGGUUAGCUUUGUAUUAGGAUUUACUCCGAAAGCAAGGAAACUUACAACAAAGAGUCCCUCCCGACUGUUUACCAAAAACACAGCACUCUGCUAACUCGUAAGAGGAUGUAUAGGGUGUGACGCCUGCCCGGUGCUCGAAGGUUAAUUGAUGGGGUUAGCAUUAGCGAAGCUCUUGAUCGAAGCCCGAGUAAACGGCGGCCGUAACUAUAACGGUCCUAAGGUAGCGAAAUUCCUUGUCGGUUAAAUACCGACCUGCAUGAAUGGCGUAACGAGAUGGGAGCUGUCUCAAAGAGGGAUCCAGUGAAAUUGUAGUGGAGGUGAAAAUUCCUCCUACCCGCGGCAAGACGGAAAGACCCCGUGGACCUUUACUACAGCUUGACACUGCUAUUUGGAUAAGAAUGUGCAGGAUAGGUGGGAGGCUUUGAGUAUAUGACGCCAGUUGUAUAUGAGCCAUUGUUGAGAUACCACUCUUUCUUAUUUGGGUAGCUAACCAGCUUGAGUUAUCCUCAAGUGGGACAAUGUCUGGUGGGUAGUUUGACUGGGGCGGUCGCCUCCCAAAUAAUAACGGAGGCUUACAAAGGUUGGCUCAGAACGGUUGGAAAUCGUUCGUAGAGUAUAAAGGUAUAAGCCAGCUUAACUGCAAGACAUACAAGUCAAGCAGAGACGAAAGUCGGUCUUAGUGAUCCGGUGGUUCUGUGUGGAAGGGCCAUCGCUCAAAGGAUAAAAGGUACCCCGGGGAUAACAGGCUGAUCUCCCCCAAGAGCUCACAUCGACGGGGAGGUUUGGCACCUCGAUGUCGGCUCAUCGCAUCCUGGGGCUGGAGCAGGUCCCAAGGGUAUGGCUGUUCGCCAUUUAAAGCGGUACGCGAGCUGGGUUCAGAACGUCGUGAGACAGUUCGGUCCCUAUCUGCCGUGGGCGUAAGAAGAUUGAAGAGAUUUGACCCUAGUACGAGAGGACCGGGUUGAACAAACCACUGGUGUAGCUGUUGUUCUGCCAAGAGCAUCGCAGCGUAGCUAAGUUUGGAAAGGAUAAACGCUGAAAGCAUCUAAGCGUGAAGCCAACUCUAAGAUGAAUCUUCUCUAAGCUCUCUAGAAGACUACUAGUUUGAUAGGCUGGGUGUGUAAUGGAUGAAAGUCCUUUAGCUGACCAGUACUAAUAGAGCGUUUGGCUUAUCUUU